UAAUCUACAUACUUCUGUCUGUCUCGCAUGGCGUCUGAAUGGGAGAGAGAGUUUGUAAGCGGACUCAGCUCUGCACAGACAAAGAAAUCACUAAAAGUGUGAGCGUACGAUAAGAAGAGUGAGGUGGGCGAGAAGGAAGCUGGUGUGCGCAAAGCAAUGCCUGCUCAUUUCUGAAUUCGAUGCUCUUCCUCCUCACGGAUUUUGGCAUAUCUUUUCCUUUUGAUUAAUUUAUUGAGCCUCGAAUCACGCCUGCUCGCACCCUCAAAAAUUGAUAACGCGAGCCCGGGUUCAUCGGCAACCCCUCCCUGUAAACUUAGUGCAACUUCUUCGCAGCAGGUUCUGAUGCCUAUAUAAAUUCUUUCGUUGUUUUAAUUUUUGGCUGAAAGACGGUUGACCUCUCUGGGCCCGGCGAAUAACGUUGAAACGGUUUAUAAGUGGACAGGAUCUUGAAGCCAUUGCAACUCAUCUUGAAGUUCUACUAAGUUUUGAGUCAUUUGGCUCGAAAAAAGAUUGGUUGAGAGGUGAAGAUGUCUUCGUGGGAUCAUCUUGGGGAGCUUGCAACUGUAGCCCAACUUACGGGCCUGGACGCGGUGAAGCUGAUUGGAUUGAUCGGGAAGGCCGCGAACACUGCGCGACUGCACAAGAGGAACUGCAGGCAAUUUGCACAGCAUUUGAAGUUAAUCGGGAACUUGCUGGAGCAGCUUAAGAUCUCAGAGCUUAAGAAAUACCCCGAGACGCGGGAGCCUCUGGAGCAGCUUGAGGAUGCGUUGAGAAGGUCCUACAUCUUGGUCAACAGCUGCCAGGACCGGAGCUAUCUGUAUUUGUUGGCAAUGGGGUGGAACAUCGUGUACCAGUUCCGAAAGGCCCAGAAUGAGAUUGACAGAUACUUGCGGCUUGUACCGUUGAUUACUCUUGUGGACAAUGCUAGAGUCAGGGAGAGACUUGAAGAUAUUGAAAAGGAUGAGCGAGAAUACACAUUGGACGAAGAGGACAGAAUGGUGCAGGAUGUGAUACUGAACCCAGAUCCCUCAACUAAUGAUGCUAUGGUGUUGAAGAAAACUCUUUCUUGUUCCUACCCAAACUUGCCUUUCAAUGAAGCACUUAGAAGGGAAAAUGAAAAGCUUCAACUUGAACUACAAAGAUCACAAGCUCACUUGGAUGUAAGCCAAUGUGAAGUAAUUCAACAUCUGAUAGAUGUCACGGAAACUGCAUCUACCAAUGCCCUUCCGGAGAAAAAUUUGCCUGAAAAAGGUCACAAGAAAGUGGAACAGAAUUAUUCAGAUACCAAUAGUGACAAUGAGCAUUCAUCUGAUGAAGGCUAUCGUAAGAGAAGUGAUACUCUUAAAACUUCAAGAAACACGUCUUCAGUUUCAUCAGGCCAUGAUCUGCUCUCAACUAGAGGUUCACUUCGACAUGAAGAAUGGCAUACUGAUCUACUUGGUUGCUGUUCUGAACCUUGUCUAUGUAUAAAGACGCUUCUCUUUCCUUGUGGGACAUUUUCAAAGAUUGCUACUGUAGCAACUAAUAGGCAUAUAUCUUCAGGGCAAGCAUGCAAUGAUUUGAUGGCAUAUUCGUUGAUAUUGUCAUGCUGUUGCUAUACUUGCAAUGUCAGAAGAAAGCUUCGCAAGAUGUUUAACAUUACGGGAGGCUCCAUUGAUGAUUUUCUUUCGCAUUUGAUGUGUUGCUGCUGUGCCCUUGUCCAAGAAUGGAGAGAGGUGGAGAUCCGUGGGGCUUAUGGUCUUGAGAAGACAAAGACAAGCCGUCCACCCUUGCAAUACAUGGAAUCUUAAGUGAUAGAAUGGAAGUCUUGAUAGUAUGAAACUUUUUAUGAACCUUGGCAGCAGUAUAUAAGUAUUCAAUGCAGGACCCAAGACAAGAUCUACCACUUGUUCACAUAAAGAUGAGCAGAGAAGGACAAGACACCCACAUGAAGACGAUGAUGAAGAGCUCUUCAAAACCCGAAGACGACGACGGUAGUGAUCUCUUCUUUCUUUCAGACCCAAAAUUGUAGAGGUUUUCUUCCCAGACUCACGUGAUUUCUAAACUUUCUGAAAUCUGAAUUUUCCUUCCUCUUUCUCGUUUUCAUCUAUGUUAUGUUUCGCAUUUUUUUUUUUUUUAGGUAACGUGGUAUGCCGAUUCCCCUAUGGUUUCGCACCUCAGUUGCAUGUAGCGAAAUUGUUUAAUUAAUGGAAAAUCUUUCACUAAA